GACGAACGCUGGCGGCGUGCUUAACACAUGCAAGUCGAACGGACAGGCCCUGCUUUUGUUGGGUGCUCGUUUGGCGAACGGGUGAGUAUCACGUGAGUAACCUGUCCUUGACUUUGGGAUAUCUUCAGGAAAAUGGGGCUAAUAUCCGAUAGGAGCUCCUGCUGCAUGGUGGGGGUUGGAAAGUUUCGGCGGUUGGGGAUGGACUCGCGGCUUAUCAGCUUGUUUGUGGGGUAGUGGCUUACCAAGGUUAUGAAGGAUAGCCGGCCUGGGCGGGUUGACGGCGACAUUGGGACUAAGGGACGGACCAGACGCCUACGGUAGGCAGCGGUGGGGAAUAUUGCACAAUGGGCGGAAGCCUGAUGCAGCAACGCCGCGUGCGGGAUGACGGCCUACGGGUGGUAAACCACUUUCGCCGGAGACGAAGCGUGAGUGACGGUAAUGGGUAAAGAAGCAACGGCUAACUACGUG
rnacentral:rRNA from 1 species